UACGGAGGGUGCGAGCGUUGUCCGGAAUCACUGGGCGUAAAGGGCGCGUAGGCGGCCAUGCGUGUCUUCCGUGAAAUCCCUCGGCUUAACUGAGGACGUGCGGAAGAAACUGCAAGGCUCGAGUCCGGGAGAGGGGGGUGGAAUUCCCAGUGUAGCGGUGAAAUGCGUAGAUAUUGGGAGGAACACCGGUGGCGAAGGCGGCAUCCUGGACCGGCAUUGACGCUGAGGCGCGAAAGCCAGGGGAGCAAACGGGG
rnacentral:rRNA from 1 species